UUUUAAGGUCACUUUCUUUUGGAGCAGGAUGUCUGAAGCUGAUGCUGGUGAGGCAGAGGAAGAUUUGAUACACACAGAAGAGGAGAGAGCAAUGUGAAGAUGGUGGCAGAGAUGGGACUGAUGAAGCCACCAGAAGCUGGAAGACAUAAGGAUCCGAUUCUCCCCUGGAGCAUCUGGAAGAAGCAAGGUCCUGUCAACAUUGUGCUUUUAGUCAUUGAAAUGAAUAUUGAACAGAAUCCUGUCCCCUAGCACUAGUAGAGAAUAAAGUUAUGUUGUUUUAAGCC
rnacentral:lncRNA from 1 species